rnacentral:rRNA from 1 species
CAUAGCCGCGGUAAUACGUAGGGUGCAAGCGUUAAUCGGAAUUACUGGGCGUAAAGCGUGCGCAGGCGGUUAUAUAAGACAGAUGUGAAAUCCCCGGGCUCAACCUGGGAACUGCAUUUGUGACUGUAUAGCUAGAGUACGGCAGAGGGGGAUGGAAUUCCGCGUGUAGCAGUGAAAUGCGUAGAUAUGCGGAGGAACACCGAUGGCGAAGGCAAUCCCCUGGGCCUGUACUGACGCUCAUGCACGAAAGCGUGGGGAGCAAACAGGAUUAGAUACCCGAGUAGUCCCUGUCUCUUAUACA